rnacentral:rRNA from 1 species
UAGGGAAUCUUCCGCAAUGGGCGAAAGCCUGACGGAGCAACGCCGCGUGAGUGAUGAAGGUCUUCGGAUCGUAAAACUCUGUUAUUAGGGAAGAACAAAUGUGUAAGUAACUAUGCACAUCUUGACGGUACCUAAUCAGAAAGCCACGGCUAACUACGUGCCAGCAGCCGCGGUAAUACGUAGGUGGCAAGCGUUAUCCGGAAUUAUUGGGCGUAAAGCGCGCGUAGGCGGUUUUUUAAGUCUGAUGUGAAAGCCCACGGCUCAACCGUGGAGGGUCAUUGGAAACUGGAAAACUUGAGUGCAGAAGAGGAAAGUGGAAUUCCAUGUGUAGCGGUGAAAUGCGCAGAGAUAUGGAGGAACACCGGUGGCGAAGGCGACUCUCUGGUCUGUAACUGACGCUGAGGCUCGAAAGCGUGGGUAGCAAACAGG